rnacentral:lncRNA from 1 species
GAAGCCAGGCCAAGAAGAAUCCCAGGACUGGAAGGCCUUGUGGGACGUCCCAGGUUUGUCUUGUGUCAAUAGCACUGAUACUCAAUCUCCUACUCCCAUCUGUGAGCAUGCAGACCCUACUUGCCUUCCCACAGCCUCCCUUUUCAUAUUUUUCAUGUUUCUUUAGCUCUGUCUUCAAGCCUUGUUGCUCCCGCAAAAAAACCUGCCUCUUCCUCCAGUCCUCCCAAGCAGGGGGAACAGUCCUGACACCUUUCCAAGCCCUGGUCCAUGGACAUUGUGCCCCCUUCUCCCUGCCCAUGGUGACCUGCUCCAAAACCCUCAAGGAGAAGGGAGUGUAUGUCAUUUCCUCCCUGUAAAGUAAAGAUAAUUUUGCAGGGGACUGUGUGGAUGAAAUGACAUGAUGCAUGGAAAUCCCUUAGCGUGUGCCUGGCAUGUAAACUGCAGGUGUCAUCAUUAUUACUGAGGAAUACUGAGUCCCGAACAUGGCUGUCUCAUUGGUGGACUGGGGUCUCCCCCAGGGCAUUCAUCUACUAUGUGUUUAUUGCACCCUUUUUCCAUGUGAGGCACAUGCCAGGGACUGGGCACAUGGUAUGAACAAGACACAGGUCAUCGGUGUCCUCUUGAGCUCCCUGGCUUGGCAGCAGAUGCAUACCUGGGAAGGAUGCUAGGUCAUCCGGGAACUCUACCUCCUUCAAAUCCCUAAGGACUGUGCUCCCAAUCCGCUUACGCUCAAGGAAGAACUGGCAGGACCUGCAGCUAAGCAAGACGUAGGACUGCAAGCUGGGUUGGCACCCUCCCCCUAGGGAGUUCUCCAGGCCUUGCCCCCUCUGUCCCCAGCCUGGAAGCCCUCCCUGGUACCAUACCCCAGCCGAUGAGUAUGUACCCCCAGAAGUACUUCCGCUCAGAGAAGAAGGAGACGGCAAGCAGGGUGUACAGGGAAGGCCUCCCUCUCCAGGACUCCUUUAGAUUUCCCCAGCAUCCAGACCUCACCUGCCUAAGUGCUGUUGCCCUGGAAGCCACAGUGAGCACGAGCUCCAUCUUGCACCUUUACCAGCCAAUGGGGGUAAAGACAUUAGCUGAAAUACUUCUAAGGGGCCAGGCGUGGUGACUCAUGCUUGUAAUUCCAAGCACUUUGGGAGGCUGAGGCAGGUGGAUCACCUGAAGCCAGGAGUUCAAGAGCAGCCUGGCCAACAUGGCGAAACCCUGUCUCUACUAAAAAUACAAAAUUUAGCCAGGCAUGGUGGCGGGAGCCUGUAAUCUCAGCUCCUAGGGAGGCUGAGCCAGAAGAAUCGCUUAAACCUGGAAGCUGGAGGUUGCAGUGAGCCAAGAUCACACCACCACACUCCAGCCUGGGUGACAGAGCAAGACUCCAUCUCAAAAAGAAAAAAAAGAAAAAAAGGAAAUACUUCUAAGUUAUGUGAGAGAGUACAUACUGACAUUUUCAAUGGGUACAAUAA